rnacentral:rRNA from 1 species
ACACGACUACAUUAGAUACCCCUGUAGUCCCAGCCCUAAACGAUGCGCGUUAGGUGUAUCGGUGACCACGAGUCACCGAGGUGCCGAAGGGAAACCGUGAAACGUGCCGCCUGGGAAGUACGGUCGCAAGGCUGAAACUUAAAGGAACUUGGCGGGGGAGCACCACAACGGGUGGAGCUUGCGGUUUAAUUGGAUUCAACGCCGGAAAUCUUACCGGGACCGACAGCAACAUGAAGGCCAGGCUGAAGACUUUGCCGGAUUUAGCUG